ensembl:lncRNA
ACAUGACUGCAAGGAAAGUUUAACAUAGAACACCACCCCUCCACUGUACACUGUGACCAAGUGUCCCAACCAUAUUAUGUAAAUGCAACUUAGGCUAGAAACGCAUAACCUAAUAGUUUAGUUACUGGCUACUAUACCGUCAGAGCACUGGCAUACUUCAUUUGACCAGUAGUUCGUUAGUUAUGGUUAGUUUUCGUUCUUAAACCGCGCCCCCCUUAACGUAACUCUGCAGCCGAUCGUUACAAAUAAUUAUUCAGAACUGCUAUAACCGUAGUUCGGCUCUGCUAAUCGUUUUGUUAGAAACAUCAGUUUCUCAUCUCAUCUGGAUACUUUGGGUAAGUGUUUGCUGUAAAUGUCCUAAAUCAGAAGUUUUCUGUGUACAUUUUAUGUAAACGGCUCAGUAGGCAAGGGGGUUUCACUUUCUAAUCGUGUAAUUUCCGUCUUAGAAUUUCACUCGAUUUUGGGCGAUUUUCUCGUCAAAGGUCCUCCUAUUAACUUUCAGUCUGUCUGCUCGGGUUUACGACCGUACACUGUAAAAUUUGAUAAGUUGAUCUUACUUAAAGGAAUUUAGGAAACCGGUUGCCUUGAACAAGUUAAGUAAAUUAAACUAGAACUUCCAAGUUAGGUGUACUCUAUGUCUACUAUUUAUGUUUACUUAAAAACAUUGUUGUAGUCACUCAAUUUAUUUGAGUUCAUACUACAUUAAAAUGCAUGUUAAUGUAAAUUUUAAUUUCUAAGUGUUAGCUACUCAUACAACCCAAGUUAAUGUGCUACCCCUGGUUGCCAGAUGAGAUGCACCUGGCCAGGUGAUCAAGCAGGAGUUAAAGACUCCAGUUUCCUGCUGCAGGAGAGAGGCUUCUAGCUUGGGGACUGCUGGUCUUGCUGCCACUCAGCCUGGGAUUUUGUUCUACAGCUAUUUUUUUAAUAUGGUUGUCUUGUAGUAGUUGUAUUUGUUUUAUAUUAAUAAAUCCCACGGAUUUGGUACUUUUAAAAAGGUGUUUUUAGUAGUUAAUUUGGGUCAGUGGUGGAGUGUCUGUUCGCCCCAUAGUGCCACCAAAGGUUGGGGACCCUAAGUAGCAUCAUAUUCUUUUGCAUCACAUCGUAUAAGAUUGAAUCACAAUAGGGGUGAAUUGUAUAGUAUGGCAUUAGCAGUUUAUCAUAUGUAUCCUUAAUGCUUCAGAUCAUUCGUCCAGAUGUGUAUUGCAACCUCGUUCUCGAAGCUCAGUGAUGGAGAUGCACAUGCCUAGUUCCAACUGUGCCUGGUCUCCCCUAGUGAUCACUAGCACCCGGGUUCCCAUAGAAAGAUGUGAGGGUUAAAUACCAGGAACGGAGGCAAUCACAUCUCUCUGCAUGCUGCCCUUGGAAUAUAUAUGGCCUACAUGUUGCCUCCGACACACAAGGUUUUUUAAUGUUGUAUUGCAUAUUAUCCACAACAGCAAAUCCCAGGGGAAAAUAGUGUGAGAUCGUGACGCACUCACACAUCUCGUUUUAUUGAGCAUGAGUAGAUUAUGAAUUAUGGCACUUUCACUGUUAUUGCCCAUCCCACCAUGGAGACGUCCAGGAGGAAUAUGAUCUGAUGACCCUCAGAGCUCAUCCUUUGCCAACUUUGCACCAGGGUUGACUAUAAGCAACGGCAUUAAGGCGAGCUUUUGCAACCCUGCUCAUCGGGUAGCCUACCUUGAGUUUGUAACGACAGGUCAACGGGUUUGUAUCCGAUUAAGGCAGCUUAGCCCUUUGCAAUGAUUGCUGUUACAACCCUGGUCAAUACGGGCGCAUUAUUUUUGGGUCGGGUUUAAAGUAACAUGACAUAUAACAUAUUAACAUGAUUCUGAUUUGAGCC